GACGAACGCUGGCGGCGUGCUUAACACAUGCAAGUCGAACGGACAGGCGCUGCUCUUGUGGUGUUCUCGAGUGGCGAACGGGGGAGUAACACGUGAGUAUCCUGCCCUUGUCUGUGGGAUAACUUCAGGAGACUGGGGCUAAUACCGGAGAGGAGCUCCUGCAGCGUGGUGGGGGAUGGAGAGAGUCGGCGGUUGGGGAUGGAUUCGCGGCUUAUCAGCUGGUUGGUGGGGUAGUGGCUGACCAAGCCUUUGACGGGUAGCCGGCCUGAGAGGGGGACCGGGCACCUUGCUACUGCGAUACGGAGCAGUAUCCUACGGGAGGCAGCAGGGGGGAACAUUGCACAAUGGGCGGAAGCCUGAUGCAGCAACGCCGCGUGCGGGAUGCCGGCCUUCGGGUUGUAAACCGCUUUCGCCUGUGACGAAGCGUGAGUGACGGUAAUGGGUAAAGAAGCACCGGCUAACUACGUG
rnacentral:rRNA from 1 species